rnacentral:rRNA from 1 species
UACGUAGGGUCCGAGCGUUGUCCGGAAUUAUUGGGCGUAAAGGGCUCGUAGGUGGUUUGUCGCGUCGGGAGUGAAAUCCCUGGGCUUAACCCAGGGCCUGCUUUCGAUACGGGCAGACUAGAGGCAUUCAGGGGAGAACGGAAUUCCUGGUGUAGCGGUGAAAUGCGCAGAUAUCAGGAGGAACACCGGUGGCGAAGGCGGUUCUCUGGGACGGUACUGACGCUGAGACGCGAAAGCGUGGGGAGCGAACAGG